UGGGGAAUUUUGCACAAUGGGCGCAAGCCUGAUGCAGCGACGCCGCGUGAGGGAUGAAGGCCUUCGGGUUGUAAACCUUUUUCGCUCAUGGUCAAGCCGCAGCUUUGGGUUGUGGUGAGGGUAGUGGGUAAAGAAGCGCCGGCUAACUACGUGCCAGCAGCCGCGGUAAUACGUAGGGCGCGAGCGUUGUCCGGAAUUAUUGGGCGUAAAGGGCUUGUAGGCGGUUGGCCGCGUCUGCCGUGAAAUCCUCUGGCUUAACUGGGGGCGUGCGGUGGGUACGGGUUGACUUGAGUGCGGUAGGGGAGACUGGAAUUCCUGGUGUAGCGGUGGAAUGCGCAGAUAUCAGGAGGAACGCCGGUGGCGAAGGCGGGUCUCUGGGCCGUUACUGACGCUGAGGAGCGAAAGCGUGGGGAGCGAACAGG
rnacentral:rRNA from 1 species